GACCUACCUGGAUGGCUGGAUCCGCCUCCCGUUGGAUCUGAAAUUCUGAACCUUCCCUAGCUCCCCGUCCGCCGCCAUCUUCCUCCGUCCAGGAAGCUGCCUCCCACCGGACUACAUCGCCCUACCGCCAGCAAGGUCGGGGGCUGCGAGCCUGUGACAAGGUCAAGGCGGGACGCCGAACCACCUCGCGAGUUGGACUGCCUUCUAUAGCUCGUCUGCACCGCUUUAGACUUAAGGAGCGCACUGCACCGAGCAAAAUAGGCAAAGCCGGUCUGGUCUAUCUGUACAAAAGUGACAAAAGGCACACAUCUUUGACAUCCCCACGACCGCACUUGAGGUAGCAGCAGUCAGAUCUUCCUUGGCGGCGACGGCGAUGGCGGCUUCACCAGCGACUUCAUCCGCGACCUUGAGGGCCUCCUCCUACGCAGGGUUUUCCGACGCCCGUCUGCGUGCGCCGAGAGCUUCCGCCGUCUCGUUCCCUUCGUCCCACUCCGCUCAUCCGACUGCGCUGGUGGCGGAUGCUCGGGCUCCUCGACUCCCCGUCGUGGCAGCAGCCGCUGCAGGGCACCAGCGGCUGAUGGGGUCGCUGACGAACACCGAGGGGCUCAGGUUCGCUGUGGUUGUGGCACGGUUCAAUGAGAUAGUGACAAACUUGCUUCUGCAGGGGGCUCUAGAGGCAUUCGAGCGAUACUCCAUCAAGGGAGAAAAUAUAACAGUUGUCAGUGUUCCUGGCAGCUUUGAAAUUCCUGUUGCAGCACAGAAGCUUGGGAAGUCUGGAAAGUUUGAUGCAAUUUUGUGCAUUGGGGCUGUGAUUAGAGGUGACACAACCCACUAUGAUGCUGUUGCAAAUUCUGCUGCGUCAGGUGUACUUAAUGCUGGAUUGUCUGCCGGUGUCCCCUGUGUAUUUGGUGUUCUGACCUGUGAUGACAUGGACCAGGCACUAAAUCGUGCUGGUGGCAAGGCUGGAAACAAAGGUGCUGAAACUGCUAUAACAGCUAUUGAGAUGGCAUCGUUGUUUCGCCAUCACUUAGGCUGACACGGAGUACUAGCCAACAAGAUUUCCUCCCAUCUAUGGCUAUUGGAGUUUUUUUUGUUACUGCAGGCUAGUGCUUGAUUGUUACAAAUUAUUUGGAUCUGUACUCUGAUUGCAUGCUCAACUGGGACACACUUGCCUGAAAUAAACUUCAAAUAAAGGGUUCUCUAUUCAAGAUUGUGGGAGGUCAUAACAACCAUAGUUGAUAGUCAUACCAUGAAGCAAAGCAUGCUAACUGUUGGAUCUGUUCGCCUUCCCCACCAUAGUGGCAGAUGCAUUCGUUAUUUUUAUAGUAAUCUGAUUGCAUAUGCAUAACAAUUCUUAUCUGAGUAUUCCAUUUUGCAAUAAUCAGUGUAAAAGUAAAGAGAAUAGUUGAUUUUGUUCUUGGUGAAUGCUUCUAUCUGUAGCCUCUUAUAUGAGCAUGCCUCUUUUGAGCUUACAGCCUUACACGCUGUUUAUUUGAUCCAA